rfam:Pedobacter nyackensis strain DSM 19625 genome assembly, contig: Ga0070598_101
GUUGAAUUAGCUCAGUUGGUUAGAGUCUCUCCCUGAUACGGAGAUGGUCCGUGGUUCGAAUCCACGAUUCAACA